rnacentral:misc_RNA from 1 species
GUAAAUUCCAAGAUUAAUCUGAAUCACAAACAUAAUGAUAAUUGGAUGUUAGAGGAGGAAAUUUGAAUACUUACGGAAGUUAAAUGACUUAUCAUUGACUAGGAUAAUGGUGAACAUUCUUACAGCAAAACAUGGACAAGUUAAAAGCAAGAGCAAAAGGCAUAGUAAAAUUACACACACAACAGCAAAAUUUCUUCCUCAGCACUUCCAAGUGAUUCAGUCUAUGAAAAAGC